AUGGAAUUCAUACAUGAGGAGGUCACAUAUAGACAAGCCUCACCUGGGAAGAUCAUACUUAGUGAAGUCUCACCUCACCAAGUUUCACAUUGGGAGACCACAGCUAGAGAAAGUAUUGCUGGGGAAUUAGCACAUAGUGAGCUCCAACAUAAGGAAAACUCACUUGAUGAACAUUCAGCUGGGGAGAUUAUUCCUGGGAAAACUACUACUGGGGAAUCCGCAUACAGGGAAGCAUCUUCUGUGGAGAUAUCUCAGAAAUACUUGCCUGGGGAAGCCUCAGAUGGGGAGAUUAUACACAAAAAAGCCGCUUAUGGAGAAGCUAUUACUAAGGAAGUCGCACUUAGAGAUGUCAUACCUGAGAAAUCCUCUUGUGCAGAGAUCAUACCUGGAGAGAAUGUACCCGGAGAAGCCACUGCUAGGGAGAUCAUACCUGGAGAAACUACUACUGAGAAAAUUGACUAUGAGGUGGUCACCCAUAGGAAAGCCUCGUUUGGUGAACUCGUAUGUGGAGACAGCACUCCAAGAGAAACAACUUCUAGGGAAGUUACAUCUGGAGAGAUCACGGCCGAGAAAGUCUUACCAGGGGAGUUCAUACCUGGAGAACUCACUUUUAAGGAAACUAUUACUGAGGAAGUCACGCUAAGGGAGAUCAUACCUGGGAAAGCCUUAUGUGGGAAAAUCAUACCUGUGGAGACUGUUCCUGGGAAAACUUCAAGGAAGAAAUCUACAGUCACUGGCUCUCUCAGAGAGUCUGUAGACUUAUCUAGGGAGGCAGCUUUCUCUGGUUCAUUGAAGGAAUCCACAGUCACUUGCUCUCUGAGAGAGUCUGUAGAUUUAUUGAGGUCGACUACAGUCACUGACUCUAUGAAAGUGCCUAUAGAGUUAUCAAGGGAGUCUGCUUUCCCUGGCGUAUCAAUUCAAUCUACAGUUUUUGACUCAGUGAGACAGUCUACACUCAGCGGUUCACUAACUCCAUCCAGACUCAUUGGCUCAUUCAUGGAGUCAACACUGAGCCAUUCACUCAAGGAAUUUAUAUUUAGGGACUCUCUAAUACAAUCUGAAGACUCACCUCAACAGUAUUCUGGACCUUUCCUUUGCACUGAACAAACUCCAAAGCCUAUAUAUGUGGAUAUAGGUAAUAACCAAAGAUCCUUUAGCAGUAGGCAGCAUACAAUUGGUUUAGCAAUGAAAAAAUCAAAGCGCUACCCAAGAAAAGCAACAAGAAAACUUGAAGGAAACAAAAUCCAGAACAGUGACUGCACAGAUAUUGCCCCACACCUUCGCAGAGAGUCCCACUGGCACUCAACUCCUGACUUUCACCUGGAAAGGGGACGUUUUGUCACAGUGAACAGUGUUCACUGCAGUCGGCCCACACGACAUGAGCGAAUGGCCACAGGUCCUGAACUGCCUGCCAUCUGUGACCUGACACACGACUCUGGCCUUACUGGUUCUCUGAGGAUUCAGUACAAAGCCCUGUCUGGCACCCAGAGCUGGGCCACAGGAUGCUCAGACAGGCGGAUACAAACGUCCCAAUUGCCCCCCGUGAGAUCCGGGUUUAACCCAUUGGCCUUCAAGGAGUCUGAUUCGGACAGUACCACAGAUGACGAGUACUACCUGAGCCCAGACGGGGGUGAGAAGGAGACAUGUCUGUAG
ensembl:lncRNA